AUCUGACCUAAUAUGUAGAUCAGGAUGAGCUGUGUAAGUGUGUAGCUUGCAAAGGGACACCUAUGAAGUGACUAUGAUCUCUGGAGAACCUGGCUUUUCUUCAUUCUGUUGAUGCAGAUAUACCGUACAGAGCAAACCAGAGGGAAUUUCCUCAGGUUCCAGGAGCAGAUGGAAAACAAUGAAACGAGAAAAGUGUUGGUGAGAGUCUCUGAAUGCCUUUGACGAGAGCAAAAAGCAGAAUGGCUCCGAAAACAAGAAACAAUGAAACACAAGGUCACAACUUUUCUAGACACAAUAGGACAUGUUCCUGGCUCAAAACACACACAUACAGUAUACAUGCAUACAUAAUAUACUGACACGAAGCUGCAGGACACAAACUCCUGACUUCUCACUUUCACACAUUCUGUAUUCUUCAUGCAAAAUUAAACAUUAAUCCUAACCAGGGUACAGAAGUCAUGAUUUCUACAAUAAACAAUAAAUCUGAGUGUUCUACACCAAA